rnacentral:rRNA from 1 species
GCCAGACUCCUACGGGAGGCAGCAGUGGGGAAUAUUGCACAAUGGGGGAAACCCUGAUGCAGCGACGCCGCGUGAAGGAUGAAGUAUUUCGGUAUGUAAACUUCUAUCAGCAGGGAAGAAAAUGACGGUACCUGACUAAGAAGCCCCGGCUAACUACGUGCCAGCAGCCGCGGUAAUACGUAGGGGGCAAGCGUUAUCCGGAUUUACUGGGUGUAAAGGGAGCGUAGACGGCAUGGCAAGUCUGAUGUGAAAGCCCGGGGCUCAACCCCGGGACUGCAUUGGAAACUGUCAGGCUAGAGUGUCGGAGAGGCAAGUGGAAUUCCUAGUGUAGCGGUGAAAUGCGUAGAUAUUAGGAGGAACACCAGUGGCGAAGGCGGCCUGCUGGACGAUGACUGACGCUGAGGCUCGAAAGCGUGGGGAGCAAACAGGAUUAGAUACCCUAGUAAA